CAGUUGUGUGUUAUCUCUACAGGUUUCCCUCAGAUCCUUAACCUCCACUGAUAUCCUGUGAAUGAGCCUCAAUCUCUCAGGUUCCUUUAAUCGAAAGCCUCAAUCUGUGUAAAUUUUUUCUGAGCGUGUGCAUCACAUUAGCAUGAUUUAAUGAUUACGGUGAUGUUAUCAGCUUUAAAUGUGUAGACACUGGAUUAGAUAACGUGUAGCGGCAGUAAGCCUGGGCGUGGUGUUGGGGAAAACUAAAUGGAAAGUAUGAAUGUAAACAGCAAGUGAGUGAGUGACAGAGAGAGAGAGAGAGAUUGCAAGAAUGUGAGUUUAAGUUUAAGAGGACUUUAAGUUUUAAAGACUUUAAUCACUACACUACACAUACCUCAUUAUUAAACUCAGCUCAUUGCAAAGUUUAAGCCUUAAAGCAAGAUAUCCCAGAAUCCCAGAAUUAGGAUCAGAAAAACUGGGCUAAAAACCAAACAGCCAGGAUUUUUAGAUCAUUGUGGACAGAAACACCUUAAAAUAUUGGCAACACUUCAAUCAAGUCGAAGCACGUUCAAUAAAAUAUGAAGGUCUUCUGGAUAAAUAAGUGAAAUGACAUUAAAAUCUCACCAUCUCAUCAGUUUAAGCAUUAAAUAUAUUCAGGUAAAAAAGUUCUGUUUUUCAGAAUAAAGUGACUCUGAGCUGGAAUGGAGCGCAGGCUGUGUAGGCAGAUGUUAUAGGUAAUUAAAAAAAUGAAACACACUCUCGUGUUUUACUGGCAUGACGAUAAAAUCACAUGAAUAAGAUGUGAGAGGGAGAAGGGACAGAGGGAGGAGGUGACAUGUGCCAGUAAAAGCGAGAGAAGUGAAACAGGGAAGUGGAAAAGUGGAAAAAGUAUUUGCUAAAGACAAAAGACUACGAAUGGAAAGAAAGGUGAAAAGAUAAACGGACCUGUAAGCAGGUCAGGAUCACGGAACCUGAAGGGAAUAUUGGAGACAUGAAGGCGUUUGGGUUGGGCUUUCCCAGACCCCUCCUCCUCGCUGCCGCUUCCUGCUCCGCCCCCUGUCGCCACGGGGACGUUCAGGGACUGGGGGUCGGAGGUCACGGGGGCCAGACCUUCAUCCUGAGCGACGGACAACGCGACAGAGAGAGAGAAGAUUAAAGUAAAGACUGUGGAGUGGUGUAAAGGUACACUAGGCAGAAUAUUCUUUUACAAAAAGCCAUGUCCCAAACAGUAGCUAAGCAAGUGCAAUGCUAACUAGUCAUUAAUACGAGAGCCAAAAUGGCGGCUGUUGGAGUUACAGCUACACUGAGUGCUAGCAUUUGGGGUGGAGCCUAAAUAUAACAAGUCAUGUGACCAGUAGUAAGCCAGUCAUAUGCAGUAUAGCACUUAGCGUACUUUUUUAUAAAUUCAGUUCAUUUCAGAAAUUUACAGCACGCUGUCAUUUUCAUGGAGGAUCAAAACAAAACAAAAUGAAUGUAAAAUAAAGAGGAAAUAAAGUGAACACAGAAGCAUAUGAGCAUUCUCCAUCCAGUGACAGAGCGCCACCCAGUGGGGGUUAAUCCACAGCUCUCUGAUCACAUGAUCACACAUGCCCGUUAGACACACUACUCAACUAUACACCACAGAGAGAGAGAAAGAGAGAGAGACAGAGAGACUGAGAUAGAGAGAGAGAGAGAGAGAGAGACAGAGAGAAAGAGAGAGACAGAGAGAAAGAGAGAGAGAGGGAGAGAGAGACAGACAGACACAGAGAAUGAGACUGAGAGAGAGGGAGAGAGAGAGAGAGAGACAGAGAGAAAGAGAGAGAGAGGGAGAAAGAGAGACAGACAGACACAGAGAAUGAGACUGAGAGAGAGGGAGAGAGAGAAAAAGAGGGAGAGAGAGAGAAUGAGACAGAGAGAGACACAGAGAGAGAAAGAGAGAGAGACAGACAGACAGAGUGAGACUGAGAUAGAGAGAGAUACAGGGAGAGAGAGAGAGACAGAGAGAAAGAGAGAGAGACUGACAGACAGAGAGAGAAUGAGACUGAGAGAAAGAGAAAGAGAGAGGGAGAGGGAGAAAAAGAGGGAGAGAGAGAGAAUGAGACUGAGAGACAGAUAGAGAGUGAGACUGAGAUAGAGAGAGAGAUAGAGAGAAGGAGAGAGAGAGAUAGAGAGAGACAGAUCAGUAUGACGAACUGUACAUGUUAAAAAAUCUCAGUAUCAUCAAUAAGAUGAAUAAUCAGCCGUUCCUGAUGCACUUACACGGAACAACAUAUUAACCACGUCAUAUGACAUCAUCACUUUGUAUUGCAUCAUCACAUGUCUGAUUACAUCAUCAGUGUGGAUAAAAGACCCCAUGCAGUUCAGCACUACAGCUAACAGUGCGUCACACCCACAUCCACUACCCACAAUGCACCACGAUGCCACUGUGUGUGUGUGUGUGUUUGUGUGUGUGUGUGUGUGCGUGUGUGUGAGCCUGUCUCACCAAAAUGCCAUUACACUGUUACGCUGUUAUCAUCAUCAUCAUCAUCAUCAAGACGUUUGUGUUACUGACAGCAGAUUAAAGAUAAAAACUGCUGGAGCAAAAAAAAGAGGAAAAUAAAAAUGAAGGGAUAAAGACUGAAAAAUAAAGCACAGGGGCCCAGAAAAGCAGGGAAUAACAGAUUAGCUGCAGCUGUGGAGAAAAGGAGAGAGAGGGAAAGAAAGAAAGAAAGAAAGAAAGAAAGAAAGAAAGAACGCACUGGGUCGUAUUCAGAGUCAACAGCUUCAGGUCUAAAUUUACAGGUUAGAUUUACAUGACUGAAGCUCCAUCUCUCCUCCCUCACUCUCCACCUCUCCUCCCUCACUCUCCACCUCUCCUCGCUCGCUCCAUCUCUCCUCGCUCGCUCCAUCUCUCCUCCCUCACUCUCCACCUCUCCUCCCUCACUCUCCACCUCUCCUCACUCGCUCUCCAUCUCUCCUCGCUCGCUCCACCUCUCCACCUCUCCUGAGAGACCUGCCUCCUCCACAAGCACAGGAAAUGACCUCGCUUUAUAGUGUAGUAGUAACAAGGUCUUCUCUGGGACCUCAGAGAGCUUUCACAGGAGAAUCAGGUCUCACAGAUGAGUUCUACACCCAGACCCUUCAUUCUGACCCGUUUUAGACAAACCCCGCCCUUGCAUAAGAGAGAUACACCCCUGUUUUAUAUAAACCCCGCCCCUGCUUAACUGAGACACACACCCGUUUUAGACAAACUCCGCCCCCACACAACUGAGACACGCCCCUGUCCCCACGUGCGUGACUCUCACAAAACUUCUGAAUAGCGCUUAAGUCUGUAGUUACAACUGAGUUCUGAAUCCUGAUGUCUGGAAUUUCAGUAUUAAAUCCUCACUGAGCGCUGAACUGAAAUCUGAACACGGCACACAGAGAGAGAGAGAGAGAGAGAGAGAGAGAGAGAGAGAGAGAGUAAUGAAGGAAAGGGAGUGAGAGGAUAGAGAAAGAAAACAAUGGGAAAGACAGUGACAGAGAAAGAAAGAAAGAAAGAAAGAAAGAA